rnacentral:rRNA from 1 species
GACGAACGCUGGCGGCGUGCUUAACACAUGCAAGUCGAACGAAGAGCGCCGGAAGCUUGCUUCUAUCAAUCUUAGUGGCGAACGGGUGAGUUACGCGUAAUCAACCUUCCCUUCUGUUGUGGACUACAGUUGGAAACGACUGCUUAUACCGCAUUCGAUCUAAUCUCUGCAUUGUGGUUGUAUGAAAGUUUUUCUCUUCAUGUAUGCUAUCACUGAAGGCUGUGAUUUCGUUUGUUUAGUUAGUUGGUGGGGUAACGUCCCCCCAAGGCGAUGAUCAGUAGCAGGUCUGAGAGGAGGAACGGCAAGAAUGGGAAGGGGACACGGCCCAGACUACUACGGGAGGGAGCAGUGGGGAAACGUGCGGAAUGGACGGAAGGCAGACGGAAAAAAGCGGCGUGAGGGAUGACGGAAUUCGGGUUGGAAAGCACUGUUAAUCGGGAAGAAAGGCAUUCGUGCGAAUAGUGAGAAGGAUGGACGGUACCGGAAUAGAAAGCAACGGCUAACUACGUG